GGCAACUAACACGCAGCACAUGCAUGAAAUAAUAGUGAUCUGUGUGACUCCGUGCUAGGAACUCCCUGCUCCCCUCCAUCCGGGUUUCUGCUGCACCACUCACAACAGCCACGACAUGGAACCGGCCUAGAUGUCCCUCGAUACAUGGUUGGGAAAGGAAACUGUCACACGCAGACACCACGGAACUUUAUUCAACAUAAAGAAAAUGAAAUUAAGAGAGCAUGGCGGAGGACACUCCUGUGCUGGGCGGCAGCUCUGUCCUCUACACCUUCAUCCCGCUCUCUAGUCGCGUGGCCUGAGUGUCUAUGGAGCCGCCUCACCCUCUCACCCUCUCGGUUCUCACUGCUCUACAAGACUGCAGGUCAACAGAAUGGAAGCGGAGCUCACCCACUCGGCACCCAGCAUCCCCCACCAAGGAGCACGGCUGGCGAGUUAGAGUCAAGGCUGGAAGGCCGAGUCUGUUUGAGCCUCUUAGUUGGAACCUGUGAGCCCCAGUCUCCUCAGCCACCAAUGUCGUAAGGACAAGGUGUACAGACAUGAAGAAUCCAGACUCGUAGCUUUACCUGAGCCCACAUCCGGACGUUCAGGUUUCCUGAUUCCUGAGUUCGCUUCCCAGAAGAGGAAGCAGGCAUGAAACACCAAGAACAGUCACUGGGCUUCAGAGCUCUCAGAGAGGAAGACAAUUUGGAAUGUCAAAAGAAACAGUACGGCCAGGCAGUGGUGGCGCACGCCUUUAAUCCCAGCACUCGGGAGGCAGAGGCAGGCGGAUCUCUGUGAGUUCGAGGCUGGGCUGGUCUGACAGCCUCCAAAACAAUACAGAGAAACCCUGUCUCGUAAAACCAAAAAAAAAAAAAAAAAAUAGAAACAGUACAUACUGGAUUGAAGUAAAGGAGCUGGCUCGAAAAAGCUAAGGACCUCUCUCAUUGCUACCCCAUGUGACUUCUCUGAAUCCCAGGACUAUUACAAUGGAGGAAACCCCAAAACUCUACUGGAAUUUCUGUACAAAUGGUGGCACAGGUUUGUCAAAAACAGGUCUCGUAGUUCUUGAAUAUGAUUCCACCUAAGUCAUCAAGCAGUGGUUUCUGUUGCUCAUUUUCAGGAAUGGUAGGUUGAUUUAGCCCUAACUUCCUCUUAGUAAUCCACUGUGAACACAAAAUAUCACUGACAAUUCACUGUCCCCUGCUGGUUUAUUUCAGGACAGUAACGGUCACAGGCUCGGUCACAGGGUCUACGGUAUAAAAACCUAUUUGCCUGUGUUUGGCUCUGGAGUCAUGCUGUGCCCAGGUACAGUCACUCCUCAAGAAGACAGGACUGAGAGUCAGGGCGCAGCAGGCACGCAGAGCCCAAAACUCUCAGCAAUGACUACCAGAGCUCACAGAGGCAUAGAGAGGCAAAGGAUAGCUAAAUGCAAUGUUUUUUAUUUUUUAUAAUUAACUCACCCUCGACACAUCGGAUGGACAAAGGUAUGCAGACAUAAAACCUUAAGAUCCCACAGUGGCCCUCCAAGGGAGGGGCUAUCGGUGAGCACAGGGGGGCUCAGCAUCGAGUAUCAGUCUCGGUGUGAGGUCACUUAAGAGAGCUGAUGGGCCAGCGGCCCCGAGUGUCUGGAACAGACAGUAUCUCAACAUCAGGCAGUCAUUAUGGCUGAAACGUUGAAGGGAGGUUGAAGCUCCCCACCUCACCAACUGCCUGAGCAUUUAAUGCUCAAGGCUAUAAACCAACGAUCGCGUUCAUCAGGAAGAAGACAUAAGUGCCAAACAGGACUUCUUACAAUAAACUUGAUUUGUUUCUGUCA